AGCAGUCGCGGUGAUUCCAGCUCCAAUAGCGUAUAUUAAAGUUGUUGCAGUUAAAAAGCUCGUAGUUGAAUUUUGGAUUCUUCCAAUUGGUCCAUCUUUUAGAUGAGUACUGGUUGUGUGGGGUCUAUCCGCCUGGUGAUACGUAAUGUCCUUUAUUGGAUGUUUCGGGUAGUCAGGACCUUUACCUUGAAAAAUUAGAGUGUUUAAAGCAGGCUUAUGCCGGAAUACAUUAGCAUGGAAUAAUAGAAUAGGACGAAGUUGUUUUAUUUUGUUGGUUUCUAGGACAACCGUAAUGAUUAAUAGGGAUAGUUGGGGGCAUUAGUAUUCAAUUGUCAGAGGUGAAAUUCUUGGAUUUAUUGAAGACUAACUACUGCGAAAGCAUUUGCCAAGGAUGUUUUCAUUAAUCAAGAACGAAAGUUAGGGGAUCGAAGACGAUCAGAUACCGUCGUA
rnacentral:rRNA from 1 species